UACAUUUUAAUCCAGAUAUUAUCAUGUCAUCCGAGCUUUCUGUGUAAAAAAUUAUAGCUAUAGCCUUAGUUGAUUUAUUAAACUUCAUUGAACUUAAUUUAUAAUUUUAGUAGUGUAUAAGAUAAACGUGGAAAACGGUAUUUUUUUUCUAUUAAUUUAAAAAAAAAAAAAAAAAUGGAUGGAGGCAAAUUAUUUUAGGGUGCACACAAAUCUUUCCGUGUUAAAAUGAAACUGGCAAAGAAAAUGAAACAAAACAGGCCAAUCCCACAGUGGGUCAGAAUGAAAACCGGCAACACAAUCAGGUACAAUGCCAAGAGGCGUCACUGGAGGAGAA